rnacentral:tRNA from 1 species
GGAGAGGUAGCUCAGCGGUUAAGAGCACUGGAUGCUCUUCCAGAGGUCCUGAGUUCAAAUCCCAGCAACAACA